CUGCCUCCGAGGGUGGAGGCCUUUCCUUGUCAUCAACCUCUAGGUUCUGAGGACCAUCCUCGGAAAAGCUGAACUGGAGCUCAGGGUUCAGCACGGCUGCUUACGGAGCAGCCUCGCAAUGGAAACCUGGUUCGAGCCUCUCGCAGGAGCUGUAACACUUGGGAAGAGAUCUCUCCCGAAGAGCCGCGCACGAGUUCCGACGCUUUCCCCACUGAAUUGUCGCCAACCCAGGCUCGGACUUACCGAGAGACCUGGAAGGAGUGGCAGAGGCUUCGUCCCCCUGCCUGCACUCACUUCCCUCGCUGGGACCUUCCCACCUGGCCUGGAUAGAGGUCUCCGUGGAAAACUUCUGGUACCUAGGCCCACAUCUCCCUAGAAGAUAGUGUAGUCUUUAACAAGGAAACCGAUGGAGAGAACUACAAAAAAAACAAAACCAACAAACUGCAGAGUUGUGAAGUCCAGACCCAGCGAAUCCAUCUACGAAACACUCUCAAACCUAAGGCUCUGGGGACAUUUGAGAAGAGGGGUGGAAAGACAGUAUGAGCCAGAGGAUCAGGAAAUUUGCUGUGCGAUUUUGUCUCCUAAUGCCAGAAGCUACAACCAGAAAGUCUUCCCAACAUGACUAUCCCAAAAUAUUGCUGAACAAGAAUGACACAGCAGAUUUGACAAUGUGAACAAGGAAAAGCCCACGAAGCUUCAACUUUCCAGAAAGAACUAGAAGAGUAAAGCCAGGAUUGGGAUAAGGUGGGCUUUACCAGGAAGAGCACAACAAUUGGUUGUCCAAUGCCAAAUGGUCAGCCCUGAAAACAUACAUACAAAUAACAUUAGAUGGACUGAGCUGGUUGUAUUUAGGAAUGCAUACAAUAACAAUUUAUGACAAAAGAUGCCAUGAGUUAGAAGGAGAGGAGGAAGGGGCAUAUGGUAGGGUUUGGAGGGAGAAAGGUGAAGAGAAAAUAUUGUAAUUGUAUUAUACUCUCAAAAAAAAAUACAUUGUAUGAAAUUCUCAAAGAACUAAUAAAAA
rnacentral:lncRNA from 1 species